GCUCGGGGCCCGCUGCGGGGCAAAGGUGACCAGAAGUCAGCAGCUUCCCAGAAGCCCCGAAGCCGGGGCAUCCUCCACUCACUCUUCUGCUGUGUCUGCCGGGAUGAUGGGGAGGCCCUGCCUGCUCACAGCGGGGCGCCCCUGCUUGUGGAGGAGAAUGGCGCCAUCCCUAAGCAGACCCCAGUCCAAUACCUGCUCCCUGAGGCCAAGGCCCAGGACUCAGACAAGAUCUGCGUGGUCAUCGACCUGGACGAGACCCUGGUGCACAGCUCCUUCAAGCCAGUGAACAACGCGGACUUCAUCAUCCCUGUGGAGAUUGAUGGGGUGGUCCACCAGGUGAGGGCCAGGAAGAGGCAGUGGUG
rnacentral:sRNA from 1 species